GGGGUGGGGGAACAGAAUGGGCCCCUUGCCAGUGGGUGCACACCGCCAGAGAGGGGCCUUGACAAGCUCAGUAGCCGGGUCAGACCCUAGCACUUUCUGGCUGCAAACCCGGACAAGCCUCCUAGCCCUCUGGGCUGGGCGGGGGCGGGUGUGUGUUUGUGUGUGCCCUUUCCACGCGCCAGGCAGCCCCCCCAGGUCUUGGCCCACUUCAGGCUGCUCCCCAGAGGGCCCUCCCUCUCUCACCCGGAUCUGUGGGCAGAGUCACCCUCUUCACUGGCAUCCUGUCCUUCUCUGCUAAAAGGGCCACCUCCUGCUGUGUCCCAUCCUCGUCCUUAGGCUGUCACAGGCUCACAGCGCUGUCUAGCAGUGUAUUUCGCUGAUUUUUCUUAUCGUCUGCCGUGCCCAGUGUCUGAGCAGCUCCCAGAGGACAAGAAUUUCCAACUCCGUCUGCCCAGCCCCUAGGUCAGUGCCCGGCCCACAGUAGGCCCUCGAUAAAUACUUGUCAAAUGAAUGAAUGGACAGAUCAGCAAAGUGAGAAAACCAGGGAGUUCCCGUCAUGGCGCAGUGGUUAACAAAUCCGACUAGGAACCAUGGGGGAUCGAACCCGCAUCCUCUUGGAUACUAGUUGGGUUUGUUAACCACUGAGCCACAGCGGGAGCUCCAGGGCCAGCUUCUUUGAGGGGUUCUGUCCACAGGGACUGCAGGGACUUUAUUGUGUCUCACUGUGCGUAUGUGAUGCAUUCAGAGAAACACAAGGAAUAGGAGAGCCACCCAGCCACCCAGCCUCGGGGAGAAAGGGUGAUGCAUACAGCUUGUCCCCGCUCCAGACUUCCCUGCCCGCAAUCCCGCAGGCUUUUUCGAGCCCCUGGAUAGUUUCCUCGUCUGUACAGUGGAGGUAACAGUCGCAUUGAGAAUUGUCAUCGUGCGUGUUUGCUGAGCACCCGCCGUGGGCCAAGCACCCCGGGCACAGGGACUGCACCUGUCAGCGGACAGCCGAGGCCCCCACCCUCAUGGGUGCACAUCCCAGCGCGUAGCCCCCCAGCCCCGCUCGCUGAUGGCUGAGAGGUCGCCCCUGGGCAGAGACAGACCUGGCCUCCAGGCUGCCCCCAGCCCAGCCUGGCGGCUCUGCCUGGACCGGGAGCCUGUCAAGUCACGCCCUCAGUGUGGCCAGUCUGAGCCCCAACCCUGAACACCUGCACCCUCAUAACCAAGCUGGCACCUCGCGUGACUAAUGCAAGUUCUUCAGAAGUCAAGAACCAUCGAGACUUAGCCAGCCAGCCCUCCCCAUUCUGCUUUCGAACUUUCGAGAUGAUCAAAGAUAGAGAAAAACAAUGUGUGUGUGUGCUUGUGUAUCUGUGUCUGUGUGUGUGGUUGUACCUUUGCGCGUGGUUGUAUCUGUCUGUCUGAGUGUGUGGCUGUGUGUGUCAGGAUUCCAUGUAUUUCUGCGUGUCUCUGGGUUUAUGUGCUUCUGUAUCUUGUGUAAUUGUACAUGUGUGUCUGUUAUAUGCGUCCGGGUGGGUCUGCGUGUGUUAGUGUGUCCUGUGUGUGUGUGUGUUACGUAUUUGUCUCUAGUUGUAUAUUUUGUAUGGUUGUGUAUGUAUCGGGGUGUGAUUGUGUGUGUGUGUGGUUGUGGGUGUGUGUCUUGUGUGUGUCUGAGGACGUGUGCUGGGAAGGUUGUUGCGGACACGUGGCUCUGAUCAUGCAAAUAUCUGUUUGCAAGAGGAGGUGGCUAGGGCCUGGUUUGAAUAACCAAAUGACGAGGGCGUGGGCCCCAGACCCUGUGUCCCUCCCUGAGUGGCUCCAGAAGCCUCCUCCAAGGUCAGGUGCAAACCUUGAAAGACUGAACGGGAGCAAGUGGUGCCCAGGGCCCAGGAGCUUCAGCUCUACGCAUCCCCCCCUCCGACCCCUCACCUCGGGGGCGCAGUGCUGGGGGCCGGGGACCCGCUGGCAGGAGACGGAGGGAGGCCGACCUUGUGCAUUAUUCAGCAGCUCCUGAUUUCACAUUAUUCUCCCUGAUACUUUUACAACCUGUCAGUAAAUAAAAAGAUUCUACAUUAUUUAUAGAAAUGGAGCAGAAUUGGCCAUGAGGAUUUAGGAUUGCUAUUAUUAGGGAGUCCUCGGGACCUCGGGAAUGGGGUGGGGCGGGGAGGCACGAGCAGGAGGGGUGGGAGGGGGCCUCGGCCGGUUGCUUUCCUCUGGGCGACUCCCAGGCGAGCGAGCUGGCCCAGAGGCCAGUGGCUGGCUCCCCGCUAGCCUGGGGCUCCUGGGGGGGGUGCUGCGGCCAGUCCUGCCAGCUGUGCCCCCUCCAGGCGGGCCUCCUGCUGGGUGGCCAUGGCUUUGGCCACAGGUGGUGGGAAGGGACCACCCAGGAAGCAGGAGAGGAAGGGCCCUGGCAGCAGGGUGCUGGGGAGCAGGCAGGGGCCCUAGUUACAGUGUGAAGGGAGCACCUACUGUGUACACAGGGCACUGCACAUGUGGGGGCAGGGCAGGCGUCCCAGGGACUGACUGCAGUUGGCCUGUCCCUGUGUCCUCCAAGGGUCCAGUCGGGGCGGGAAAGGUGCCGCACACGGUCCAGGCGCACUGGGCUCGUGCGCCCUGGUCCAACGCCCACACCCCCGUCCCCUGGUGGACGCCACGUCCUGUUCUGCCCGGGGCCCUUGCUCUGGAUGAGUCACAGCUCUAUUUCAGGCUGUCACCUUUAGCACAUGUGUGCAGCUGACCGGUGGCCACCCUGCUGUGAGAGUGUGACUCUCAGCCUGGGUCCCGCCAGCUCCUGCCGGGAUGUUUUAACUUUGCCCUUUCCACGUGGACAGCCGUCUAAGUGUAAUGAACUCCGGCAUGUUCUGGUGAGCGGGCGACCAGCCUUCCUCCGAGCAUUUCCAGGGACGCAGGGCGUGUGUCCGAGCACCGUCGCAUCCGCACAGAACUGCCCUCCGGGCGGCUGCCAGCACCGCACCCCCGGCUUCUCAGAACCAGAGCCCGCACCUGUUAAGGGUGCCCCAUGAGGGAACUGCUUUCUCACAAGCCCUGCAGCCCUCACAUCUGAGAACUGCUGGCCCAGAGAGGGCAAGAAUCCUGUGCCAUUUGUCUGGGAGCCCAGCUUCCAGCACACAGUAGGUGCCUUACGGAGUCUGGACCUGAGUUGGCUGGCUAAGCGUUAUCCAUCCUUUGGAAACCUGCUGCCCAGGGAAGAGGCAAAAUGAGCCAGUGGGCGCUGAGACGGGGAAGUGGCCUGUCGUCAGGGCAUGGUAUCUUGUGACCUGAAUCCAGAGAUGCUGAGGGGCCCUGGGGAGCGGAGACACGGCUGCGAUGGAGUUGAUCCGAGACACGGGCCGUGAAGGGGAGACGGGAGUGGCCCAGGAGGACUGAGCAGAGUUUGCAGAGGUGACAGAAGACAGCCUCGCGGCUGAGAGGGAGCUGACCAGGAGCUGGAAGCGUGCAGGUGGGGAGUUCCCGUCGUGGCGCAGUGGUUAACGAAUCCGAGUAGGAACCAUGAGGUUUCGGGUUCGAUCCCUGGCCUUGCUCAGUGGGCUAAGGAUCCGGCGUUGGCACGAGCUGUGGUGUAGGUCACAGACAGCUUGGAUCCCAUGUUGCUGUGGCUCUGGCAUAGGCUGGUGGCUACAGCUCUGAUCAGACCCCUAGCCUGGGAACCUCCAUAUGCUGCAGGUGCAGGCCUAGAAAAG
rnacentral:lncRNA from 1 species